rnacentral:rRNA from 1 species
GUUUAUGGCCAUGCUACUCUGAACAAGCCCGAUCCCAUCUGAUCUCAGAAGCUAAGCAGGGUCAGGCCUGGUUAGUACUUGGAUGGGAGACCACCUAGGAAGACCAAGUGCUGUAGGCA